rnacentral:tRNA from 1 species
GCCCUGGUGGCCUAAUGAAUAAGAUACUGGUUUUCUAAGCCAGAGAUUGUGGGUUCAGGUUCCACCUGGGGGG